rnacentral:rRNA from 1 species
AGAAACUAACAAGGAUUCCCCUAGUAGCGGCGAGCGAAGCGGGAAGAGCUCAAAUUUAUAAUCUGGCACCUUCGGUGUCCGAGUUGUAAUCUCUAGAAGUGUUUUCCGCGUUGGACCGCACACAAGUCUGUUGGAAUACAGCGGCACAGUGGUGAUACCCCCGUACACGGUGCGGACGCCCAGCGCUUUGUGAUACACUUUCAAUGAGUCGAGUUGUUUGGGAAUGCAGCUCAAAUUGGGUGGUAAAUUCCAUCUAAAGCUAAAUAUUGGCGAGAGACCGAUAGCGAACAAGUACCGUGAGGGAAAGAUGAAAAGCACUUUGGAAAGAGAGUUAACAGUACGUGAAAUUGUUGGAAGGGAAACGCUUGAAGUCAGACUUGCUUGCCGGAGCUUGCUUCGGUUUGCAGGCCAGCAUCAGUUUUCCGGGGUGGAUAAUGGUGGUUUGAAGGUAGCAGCCUCGGCUGUGUUAUAGCUUUCCACUGGAUACAUCCUGGGGGACUGAGGAAC